rnacentral:rRNA from 1 species
AACGAACGCUGGCGGCAGGCCUAACACAUGCAAGUCGAGCGCCCCGCAAGGGGUGCGGCGGACGGGUGAGUAACGCGUGGGAACGUACCCUUUGCUACGGAAUAGCCUCGGGAAACUGGGAGUAAUACCGUAUGUGUCCUUCGGGAGAAAGAUUUAUCGGCAAGGGAUCGGCCCGCGUUGGAUUAGGUAGUUGGUGGGGUAAUGGCCUACCAAGCCGACGAUCCAUAGCUGGUUUGAGAGGAUGAUCAGCCACACUGGGACUGAGACACGGCCCAGACUCCUACGGGAGGCAGCAGUGGGGAAUCUUAGACAAUGGGCGCAAGCCUGAUCUAGCCAUGCCGCGUGAGCGAUGAAGGCCUUAGGGUUGUAAAGCUCUUUCAGGGGGGAAGAUAAUGACUGUACCCCCAGAAGAAGCCCCGGCUAACUCCGG